rnacentral:rRNA from 1 species
UACGAAGGGGGCUAGCGUUGUUCGGAAUCACUGGGCGUAAAGGGCGCGUAGGCGGCUUUAUAAGUCGGGGGUGAAAGCCUGUGGCUCAACCACAGAAUUGCCUUCGAUACUGUAGAGCUUGAGACCGGAAGAGGUAAGUGGAACUGCGAGUGUAGAGGUGAAAUUCGUAGAUAUUGGGAGGAAUACCGAUGGCGAAGGCAGCUCUCUGGCUCGUAACUGACACUGAGAUUCGAAAGCGUGGGUAGCAAACAGG